rnacentral:rRNA from 1 species
CGAACGGUAACAGGAAGCAGCUUGCUGCUUCGCUGACGAGUGGCGGACGGGUGAGUAAUGUCUGGGAAACUGCCUGAUGGAGGGGGAUAACUACUGGAAACGGUGGCUAAUACCGCAUAACGUCGCAAGACCAAAGAGGGGGACCUUCGGGCCUCUUGCCAUCAGAUGUGCCCAGAUGGGAUUAGCUUGUUGGUGAGGUAACGGCUCACCAAGGCGACGAUCCCUAGCUGGUCUGAGAGGAUGACCAGCCACACUGGAACUGAGACACGGUCCAGACUCCUACGGGAGGCAGCAGUGGGGAAUAUUGCACAAUGGGCGCAAGCCUGAUGCAGCCAUGCCGCGUGUAUGAAGAAGGCCUUCGGGUUGUAAAGUACUUUCAGCGGGGAGGAAGGUGUUGUGGUUAAUAACCGCAGCAAUUGACGUUACCCGCAGAAGAAGCACCGGCUAACUCCGUGCCAGCAGCCGCGGUAAUACGGAGGGUGCAAGCGUUAAUCGGAAUUACUGGGCGUAAAGCGCACGCAGGCGGUCUGUCAAGUCGGAUGUGAAAUCCCCGGGCUCAACCUGGGAACUGCAUUCGAAACUGGCAGGCUUGAGUCUUGUAGAGGGGGGUAGAAUUCCAGGUGUAGCGGUGAAAUGCGUAGAGAUCUGGAGGAAUACCGGUGGCGAAGGCGGCCCCCUGGACAAAGACUGACGCUCAGGUGCGAAAGCGUGGGGAGCAAACAGGAUUAGAUACCCUGGUAGUCCACGCCGUAAACGAUGUCUACUUGGAGGUUGUGCCCUUGAGGCGUGGCUUCCGGAGCUAACGCGUUAAGUAGACCGCCUGGGGAGUACGGCCGCAAGGUUAAAACUCAAAUGAAUUGACGGGGGCCCGCACAAGCGGUGGAGCAUGUGGUUUAAUUCGAUGCAACGCGAAGAACCUUACCUGGUCUUGACAUCCACAGAACUUUCCAGAGAUGGAUUGGUGCCUUCGGGAACUGUGAGACAGGUGCUGCAUGGCUGUCGUCAGCUCGUGUUGUGAAAUGUUGGGUUAAGUCCCGCAACGAGCGCAACCCUUAUCCUUUGUUGCCAGCGGUCCGGCCGGGAACUCAAAGGAGACUGCCAGUGAUAAACUGGAGGAAGGUGGGGAUGACGUCAAGUCAUCAUGGCCCUUACGACCAGGGCUACACACGUGCUACAAUGGCGCAUACAAAGAGAAGCGACCUCGCGAGAGCAAGCGGACCUCAUAAAGUGCGUCGUAGUCCGGAUUGGAGUCUGCAACUCGACUCCAUGAAGUCGGAAUCGCUAGUAAUCGUGGAUCAGAAUGCCACGGUGAAUACGUUCCCGGGCCUUGUACACACCGCCCGUCACACCAUGGGAGUGGGUUGCAAAAGAAGUAGGUAGCUUAACCUUCGGGAGGGCGCUUACCACUUUGUGAUUCAUGACUGGGGUGAAGUCGUAACAAGGUAACCGUAGGGGAACCUGCGGUUGGA